UUACACAAAUACAAUAUGAAGGCUUCGGCUGGAUUAUUUAUUUCACCCUUGUCUUUUGCGCACUUGUUGUUUCCUGGGCGGGUUCGCCCGCCACCAGGACCACACCAUAAACCUUUUUUGUUAAUGCAGUCAGCGUCAGUACAACAAAUGUAAAUCAUUUACAACUUUCAACAACGGAUCUCUUGGUUCUGGCAUCGAUGAAGAACGCAGCGAAAUGCGAUACGUAGUGUGAAUUGCAGAAUUCAGUGAAUCAUCGAAUCUUUGAACGCACAUUGCGCCCUUUGGUAUUCCAAAGGGCAUGCCUGUUCGAGCGUCAUUUGUACCCUCAAGCUUUGCUUGGUGUUGGGCGUUUUGUCUUUGCUCGCCAAAGACUCGCCUUAAAACGAUUGGCAGCCGACCUCUUGGUUUCGCAGCGCAGCACAAUUUUGCGCUUGCAAAUCAGCAAGUUGGCACUCCAUCAAGAACAUUUUUUUACGUUUGACCUCGGAUCAGGUAGGGAUACCCGCUGAACUUAAGCAUAUCAAUAA
rnacentral:misc_RNA from 1 species